UACAGAUGGAGCAAGCUUCCUGCUAUAUGAUUAGGUCGAUAGCGUGAUUCAAUGAAUCUGGUUAGUUUAAAACUUAAGUUAGGACAGUUUCUGCCCUAACUAAUCCAAAAGGAUGGUAAGAUAAAAGUGAGGGAAUUUUCCAUGUAUUAGUAAAAUGAUUGAAUAUGGGAAGGAACGCCAAUAGCGAAGGCACUCAUUUAAUACUGACUGAAAUUUAAUCACGGAAGUCCGAGGAGCAAAACGG
rnacentral:rRNA from 1 species